CGCAGCCUGAUGCAGCCAUGCCGUGUGUAUGAAGAAGGCCUUCGGGUUGUAAAGUACUUUCAGCGGGGAGGAAGGGAGUAAAGUUAAUACCUUUGCUCAUUGACGUUACCCGCAGAAGAAGCACCGGCUAACUCCGUGCCAGCAGCCGCGGUAAUACGGAGGGUGCAAGCGUUAAUCGGAAUUACUGGGCGUAAAGCGCACGCAGGCGGUUUGUUAAGUCAGAUGUGAAAUCCCCGGGCUCAACCUGGGAACUGCAUCUGAUACUGGCAAGCUUGAGUCUCGUAGAGGGGGGUAGAAUUCCAGGUGUAGCGGCGAAAUGCUUACAGAUCUGGAGGAAUACCGGUGGCGAAGGCGGCCCCCUGCACUAACACUGACGCUCAUGUGCGAAAGCGUG
rnacentral:rRNA from 1 species